rnacentral:rRNA from 1 species
AGUGGGCGAUUUUGACUUCGGUCAGAAGAGCGGCGAACGGGUGAGUAACACGUAGGAAUCUGCCUGGUAGUGGGGGACAACGUUCCGAAAGGAACGCUAAUACCGCAUACGCCCUACGGGGGAAAGCUGGGGAUCUUCGGACCUAGCGCUAUCAGAUGAGCCUGCGUCGGAUUAGCUAGUUGGCGGGGUAAAGGCCCACCAAGGCGACGAUCCGUAACUGGUCUGAGAGGAUGAUCAGUCACACCGGAACUGAGACACGGUCCGGACUCCUACGGGAGGCAGCAGUGGGGAAUAUUGGACAAUGGGGGCAACCCUGAUCCAGCCAUGCCGCGUGUGUGAAGAAGGCCUUCGGGUUGUAAAGCACUUUAGGUUGGGAGGAAGGUUCGCUGGCUAAUAUCCAGCGGAAUUGACGUUACCGACAGAAUAAGCACCGGCUAACUCCGUGCCAGCAGCCGCGGUAAUACGGAGGGUGCAAGCGUUAAUCGGAAUUACUGGGCGUAAAGCGCGCGUAGGCGGCUCGGUCAGUCGGGUGUGAAAUCCCUGGGCUCAACCUGGGAACUGCAUUCGAUACUGCCGAGCUAGAGUGUGGGAGAGGGUGGGUGGAAUUCCCGGUGUAGCGGUGAAAUGCGUAGAUAUCGGGAGGAACAUCAGUGGCGAAGGCGACCGCCUGGCCCAACACUGACGCUGAGGUGCGAAAGCGUGGGUAGCAAACAGGAUUAGAUACCCUGGUAGUCCACGCCGUAAACGAUGUCGACUAGCCGUUGGAGACCUUAGAGUCUUUAGUGGCGCAGCUAACGCGAUAAGUCGACCGCCUGGGGAGUACGGCCGCAAGGUUAAAACUCAAAUGAAUUGACGGGGGCCCGCACAAGCGGUGGAGCAUGUGGUUUAAUUCGAUGCAAC